AGUCUGCAACUCGACUACAUGAAGCNGGAAUCGCUAGUAAUCGCGAAUCAGCAUGUCGCGGUGAAUACGUUCCCGGGUCUUGUACACACCGCCCGUCACACCAUGGGAGUUGGUAACGCCCGAAGCCAGUGACCCAACCGAGAGGAGGGAGCUGUCGAAGGUGGGACCGAUAACUGGGGUGAAGUCGUAACAAGGUACC
rnacentral:rRNA from 1 species